UGGGGAAUAUUGCACAAUGGGCGCAAGCCUGAUGCAGCGACGCCGCGUGAGGGAUGACGGCCUUCGGGUUGUAAACCUCUUUCAGUAGGGAAGAAGCGAAAGUGACGGUACCUGCAGAAGAAGCGCCGGCUAACUACGUGCCAGCAGCCGCGGUAAUACGUAGGGCGCAAGCGUUAUCCGGAAUUAUUGGGCGUAAAGAGCUCGUAGGCGGUUUGUCGCGUCUGCCGUGAAAGUCCGGGGCUCAACUCCGGAUCUGCGGUGGGUACGGGCAGACUAGAGUGAUGUAGGGGAGACUGGAAUUCCUGGUGUAGCGGUGAAAUGCGCAGAUAUCAGGAGGAACACCGAUGGCGAAGGCAGGUCUCUGGGCAUUAACUGACGCUGAGGAGCGAAAGCAUGGGGAGCGAACAGGAUUAGAUACCCUGGUAGUCCAUGCCGUAAACGUUGGGCACUAGGUGUGGGGGACAUUCCACGUUUUCCGCGCCGUAGCUAACGCAUUAAGUGCCCCGCCUGGGGAGUACGGCCGCAAGGCUAA
rnacentral:rRNA from 1 species